rnacentral:misc_RNA from 1 species
UUGAUCAGGUUUGCACUAUUUUGAAAAACAAAAUCCCCGGGUGAACAAAACCCCAAUGAUUCAUUUUACUUUUUCGUUCAGUGUGAUCAUGUGACCUUGAACUUCGCGAAUUUUCUGGAAUUUGUGGAAUUUUCUUCAUUUUACUCGAUAACAUCCAUUUAUAAGCACACAACUUUACAGACUUGACAUUUUGACGCGAGGAAGCAGACAAUACAGUAUAUUUGUAUAUCUGACGUUGUUAUUGGGCCUAACUGACAUAAAUAAGAGAAAAUAAUUUUAUUUAUUUUCACAACAACAACAAACUGAACUGUCAACACUUUUUGGAGAGAAUAGAGGAGAAAACUGGACUCAAAAAUUUUCUGUUUAUGUAACAACAGAUUGCUCAAAAGCUAAUAAUGGGUAAAGAUUACUACAAUAUUCUUGGCAUUGCGAAGACUGCUACUGAAGAUGAAAUCAAGAAGGCGUAUCGCAAAAUGGCGCUGAAGUAUCAUCCAGAUAAAAACAAAUCACCAGGUGCUGAAGAAAAAUUUAAAAACAUAUCAGAGGCAUACGAUGUAUUGCAUGAUAAAGAAAAACGUGGAAUUUACGACAAAUAUGGCGAAGAAGGAUUAAAAGGUGGAAUGAAUGGUGGUGGACCAAGUGGUGGGCCAACUGGCGGAAACUUCCAGUACACCUACCAUGGUAAUCCACAUGAAACAUUUAAGAUGUUUUUUGGUGAUGAAGAUCCGUUCCAAUUCUUCUCAUUUGGUGGUCAGGGUGGAAUGCCUGGAGGAACGAGCAGUAGCCGAAGGGUAUUCACUAACUUGGGUGGAGAACAUGAACAUAUGGAUACUGAUGAUGAUCCAUUUGCCAGCAUGUUCGGAGGUGGUAGACACGGUAUGGGAGGCCAUGGUAUGCCAAUGGGUGGGAUGCCUCAGUCUCAUAUCCGUAAACGCCAAGAUAAACCUAUAGUACAUGAACUGAAAGUAUCUCUCGAGGACAUUUAUAAAGGUACAACUAAGAAAAUGAAAAUAACUCGCAAAGUAAUACAGCCUGGUACUAACCAGCCUAUGGCUGAAGACAAAGUUCUGACAAUAGACAUUAAAAAGGGUUGGAAGUCCGGGACUAAAAUUACCUUCCCUAAAGAGGGUGAUCAAACUCCUAAUAAUAUACCUGCUGAUAUAGUGUUUGUGAUAAAGGAUAAACCACAUCCUACCUUCACACGAGAUGGCAGUGAUCUACGCUAUAAAGUUAAAAUAGGACUUAGAGAGGCUCUUGUUGGAACUACUCUCCAAAUACCAACAAUAGAUGGCAAAUCAAGACAACUAAGACUAUCAGAAGUAAUACGUCCAACAACUAAAAAACGCAUUAUGGGGGAGGGCCUUCCACUACCAAAACAACCAACUAAAAGAGGAGAUUUAAUCAUAGAGUUUGACAUUAACUUCCCAGAGACUUUGCCUCAAUCAACCAAAGAAAUAUUAUCAGACUGUUUACCUGUUUCACGCUAUAAUUAAGUUUUAUGCCAGUAAGGUUGGUCAAAACAUCAAUUUUUUGCAAAAACAUUUUAACAAGAGAUUAGACCCCAUCUCCAUGAAGGUUGAUUUUAAUGUCAAUUCUUGAACAGCUUUGGGUUUACUUCUUUCUAUCCAAUAUGUCUGAGCUGUUUUAUUAAAAUUUAUACAGAUAAAAAUAUGGCAUUGAUGUCUGUAUGCAAUUAUUACAUUGAGAUUUUUUAUUGGUGCUACCUAUUAUUAUUGAGUAUAAUACUAGUCCAUGUACAUUCUUACUAAACCACAUCCGUACAUGAUAUUGUAGUUCUAAAACAAUAAUUGAUCCGAUUAAACUGCCAUCUUU